UACGAAGGUCCCAAGCGUUGUUCGGAAUCACUGGGCGUAAAGGGUGCGUAGGCGGGUCUUAAGUCAGGGGUGAAAUCCUGGAGCUCAACUCCAGAACUGCCUUUGAUACUGAAGAUCUUGAGUUCGGGAGAGGUGAGUGGAACUGCGGAGUGUAGAGGUGAAAUUCGUAGAUAUUCGCAAGAACACCAGUGGCGAAGGCGGCUCACUGGCCCGAUACUGACGCUGAGGCACGAAAGCGUGGGGAGCAAACAGG
rnacentral:rRNA from 1 species